CCUACGGGAGGCAGCAGUGGGGAAUAUUGGGCAAUGGGCGCAAGCCUGACCCAGCAAUGCCGCGUGAAGGAAGAAGGCUUUCGGGUUGUAAACUUCUUUGACAGGGGAAGAGCAGAAGACGGUACCCUGAAAACAAGCCACGGCUAACUACGUACCAGCAGCCGCGGUAAUACGUAGGUGGCAAGCGUUGUCCGGAUUUACUGGGUGUAAAGGGCGUGUAGCCGGGAAGGCAAGUCAGAUGUGAAAUCUGGAGGCUCAACCUCCAAAUUGCAUUUGAAACUGUUUUUCUUGAGUACUGGAGAGGCAGACGGAAUUCCUUGUGUAGCGGAGAAAUGCGUAGAUAUAAGGAGGAACACCAGUGGCGAAGGCGGUCUGCUGGACAGCAACUGACGGUGAGGCGCGAAAGCGUGGGGAGCAAACAGGAUUAGAUACCCCAGUAGUC
rnacentral:rRNA from 1 species